UAACUCAGUUGGUAGAGUGCAAGACUCUCAACCUUGUGGUCAUGGGUUCGAACCCCAC
rnacentral:tRNA from 1 species